rnacentral:lncRNA from 1 species
GUAGGUACUCCAUUGUCUGACGGAUCUGAGAACGCUGUCUGGGCUUCGUGCCAAGGGCUGGUAUUCACACAGCAACGACGGCCUCACAGAAGAGCUGUGGGAAGCAGGAGGGAGAGCCUCUCUUAGGGUGCCACUACUAUGGAGACACAGCUGGGCUGAACAAGAUUUGCUUCAAACGACAACAAGAGAGACAGAAAGUAUCUAAUUCAACCGCUGCCCAAGCAGGCAGGCACCAGAAGAGCUAGCAGCCAAUCCGGCCAUGCUCGAAGCCAGUCCUGCAGCUCAGCCAAUCAGUGACAUCAUUGGACAUCUCUUCAGAUUGCUCAUCAUGAUAUGAAGAUGAAACUUAAUAGCAAGAACUAAUGGAUGCUUUUCUUGGAUUCAGUCCAACACUCUGGAGACCAGAUCUUCAGGAAUGUAACUGGGAUAAUUGUCCAAAUCAAAUCCCAUGCCCUGUCAUGGUGAGUAGAACCAUUUAAAAUGCCAUUUUUUUUCGUGUUUAUCUGUAAUUUUUUCCCAUUGGUAAUCACAGUUUUCUGGUGAUUGGUAUAGGAAAUUCAAAGAACUGAUUUCCAUGUUUUAAUUCUCUUUAUGAUGGAAAGGCGAAUGUUUGGCUAGGGAUGCAGCUCAGUGGCUAUUGUGACUGACUUUGCCUAGGGCCACGUACACCUGGUGUACGGCAGGAUGGUAUACUGAAAUUCUAGCAUGGGGAGUUUGAGGCAGGAGCAUCGUAAGCUCAAGGUCGUCAAUCGUUACAGUGUAAGUACUAAGAAAGAUAUUGCACGGUAGAAUCGUUAAUUAUCCUGAAAUGUAAACAUGCCAUGCAUAAACUGGCGAAACACUUGUCAGGUUUCUCUGAACUCCGGCCAAUGUAAAAUGCCUGAAAAAUCAAUUCACUUGUUACUAUCAGACUCAUUUCACAAACGGUGUGGGAAGGAUUCAUCGUCCAUGUGUAUGUCUAUACAUGUACAUAUAUAUACAUAUGCACUGUAGCCAAGACUGGAGAUCUUGUUCAUUGUUUGAACUUGACUGAUUGUUAGUUUUUCUUGGCUUUCUUUAAUGUGUUCACACACACACACACACACACACACACACACACACACACACACAUCAAAUUGUUUUGGCUAGUUUUCUUAAAACCCCUUCCCUUGAGUUCCUUUGAAGGUUACUCCUUUGACCCUGAAGGUUCAGAAAAAGUAAUGAGGUUUUUUUUUUUUUUUUUAUCUGUAUCAAUAGUUAUUAGAGAAAUACAAAUUUAAAACAAAGUGGCAAUAGACAUAAAUCACCUCUGGUGACAAAAAUAAAAGUUCAUAGAAUAGUUACUCAGGAUCUGUGGAAGUAAACUCUUAAACAUGGCUGGUACAAUGCUAACGUGAUGUAGCCACUGCAGAAAACAGCCUAACAGCUUCUCAUAAGUUUAUAUGACUAAUUCCCAACUAGGCACAAGACAAGAAAUAGAAACUUAACAUCUGAGUUUCUUUUCCUGUCUUUGGGAUAAAAAUGCUCAUCAAGAGGCAACUUCAGGAAGGAGGGGGCUUAUUUGGAUUCUGUUUUGAGAGGAUGCAGUCCAUCCUGAUGGGAAAGGCUCGAAAGCCAAGCAGCAGGCAGCUAGGGAUGGAUUCUGGUGCUCAGCUAGCUAGUUUUCCCUUUUUUAUUCAGCCCAGCAGUUAUAAUGGAUAGUUUUAAAUAAAUAUGCUUCAUUGACUAUGUCUAAUUCUGUAUAACUUAGUUGAAGUUAAUGUAACAAAGAAAAACAUUGACCCUGUGUAUUAGAAAAUGGACUGAUGCUGGGGUUAGUGGCACACACCUUUAAUCCCAGCACUUGGGAGGCAGAGACAGGCAGAUCUCUGUUAGUUCAAGGUCAGUCUGGUCUACAGAAAAAGUUUCAGGACAGCCAGAACUACACAGAAAUACCAAGUCUUGAAAAAUAUUAAAUAGUAUUAAAUUACUUAUAUGUAUUUGUGGGGUUUGUGUAAAGUCCAUUAAAACAAUGUUCAUAGGAGUAAUUCUUGUCACCUGACAUCACAUAUAAAUAUUACUGUGGGUUUUUCUGUUAUUUUGUGGCUGUAGGUGGAAAGCCUCCUUAUCUAUAAAUAAGAAUUUUAGGUGCCUUUUGGUUUUUUGGUUUUGUUUUUGUUUUUUGUUUUGUUUUGUUUUUGUUUUUGCUAUAACAUAAGAUUUUUCAGUUCAUUGUUUAAUGGCACAGUGGUAGCUUACAGGUGAAAAUGAAAUGACUAAACAAUAGUUGGGUUUUCCAGGUUUUAUUUAGAAUGAAUGACUUUCAAGACUGUCAUUUAAGUAUGACAUUGACUAUUUAAUGUAUUUUUAAAUCACUAGAAUGUUAUCCAAUGACACAUAGGCUAAACUAGAUUUUAUAAAAUUUCCCCCAAUCUUAUUUAUAUCUGAUAAUUUUGUUUUCUUCUCUUAGCCAAUUCUUUGCUCAUGUGCCACUUUUGCAUAGUUAGAUAGCGUACUAAUCUUUGAGCAUGCAUUAAUUUUUUAACUAGGUAUUUUCUUCAUUUACAUUUCCAAUGCUAUCCCAAAAGUUCCCCCAUACCCUCCCCGCCACCCGCACUCCCUCUUCUUGGCCCUGGCAUUCCCCUGUACUGACUGGUUAGUUCAUAUUUUCUCUAGCUCCUCCAUUGGGGGCCCUGUGAUCCAUCCAAUAGCUGACUGUGAGCAUCCACUUCUGUGUUUGCUAGGUCCCGUUAUUAACAACUUAAUAUGUUUGAACUCUCAUGAUAGGUUAUAUGGGUGAUUUCUCUCCUUCCACCACAUUCUUUUUGGAAAGUUAACCGACAUGUUCAGAGUUGGCCACAGGUGCCUUUACCUGAUGAGCCAGCUCAUUUUCUUAUUGUAUAGUUUAUUCUAACUUGCUUUUAUUUAUUAAGAAUUUUGAAAGUAUUGAAAAAUCAUGACAGCAUUUCUUACUAGCCUUCUCCCUGGCAGUGUGAGAGAGAUGUGUACAUUGCAAAUGGCCCAGGAAUUUGAAGUUUUGGAAAAGAAGCAGAGUAAAGUAAUCAAGCCACAGACUCUAUUUUAUAAGUAAUAUAUUGAAAGUUAAA